rnacentral:lncRNA from 1 species
CGCAGACAGAGCAAUAAGGAGAGGGGGAGGCUGUGAAGUGUGAUCGAGAGAUGAGGCGAGGACUGGACUGCGGGGAAACUCCGGCGGGAGGAGUCGGGAAGAGGCAGAGGAGGCAGGUUGAAGGGGGAGAAGAGGAUGGGGAGAUGAUGGCGGAGACGGCGUUUGUGAACCUAGACGAAGAUUUGCUGUUCGAGGUGCUGAAGCACGUGGACGCGCGGACGCUAGCGACAGCGGCGUGCGUUAGCAGGCAGUGGAAGAGGACGGCGCACGACGAGAGGCUCUGGGAGAUGAUCUGCACGCGCCAUUGGGCCAACGUCGGGUGCGGGACUCAGCAGCUACGCUCCGUGGUCCUCGCUCUCGGAGGCUUCCGUCGCCUCCACGCGCUCUGUCUCUGGCCCCUCCUGAAAUCCCCCCCUUCCUCCUCCUCCUCCCCCUCCCCUUACACAACGUCGUCUCACUCUCCUCAGUCCUCCCCAUUUUCUCCUCCGGUGGUCCCGUCAAAGAAGGCGCCUACUCGCUGGGGAAAGGACGAGGUUCAUCUUUCCUUGUCUCUUCUCUCCAUUCGCUUCUACGAGAAAAUGAGUUCCAAAAGCAAAGGCAGUUAAAUUUGCAACUCUAUAAUCUCCCCCACUCCUCAUAUUCCACGAAAUUCCUCCCUUUUCUUUUAUCUUUUCUGUUUGUUUCUCGGGAGAACAGCCUUUGAGCAUAUUCUGGUAUUGUAUGGAUUUUGUAAAUUACAAGUAUGAGGUUGUUAAUCGUUAUUAUCCUUCAAACGUUGUAAAAAUUGUUGUGUUUGUUCUUCAAUAUUUGCCAUCCACUACACUUAGAAUUGCUUUUGUACAGUUUUUUUAUUUUCCUUUUCUAUCCUGUAGCUUUAAUAAUACCUUAGAAAAUUAAAAUUAAUCAAAAUUAUUCUAUCUAUAUACCAUUGCUCUUAUUAAAAAAUUUAUAAUUUUAAAUUUGCUUAAUAUAAAGGCAUCUGAUUCUUUAUGAAAAAAUUAAAGAGAAUAGAUUCUGCUGCAGGAUCAGACUUCAGCACCUCUAGAUUAUUUACAGGUGGUGGAUAUGGUGAUGGACUGGGCUAAUCUUUGGGUUAAGGACUUGGCCUGGCCGGAUAUUAUUAAGCCCAAGUUUGAGAUCAUGGGGUCCAAAAUGAAGAGAUUUGUUAUAAAUGUAUUAAAAUGGAUUGGUUUGGUGGAGGUGGAUGACCACCAAUUCUUCCACUCUCUUUAUUUAAGAGUCUGUAUUUAAUUCUUCAUUUCCAUUCCUUCACGUCAUACCAUUGAGAUGAUCAAUUAUUUUAUAUUUAAAAUUAUUUUGUAAUUAUAGAAGUAUUUUAUAAGCUUUUUAAGUUUGUAAAUUCAUAUUUUUUAACUGUCCAAAAUUAGGUAAAAAUAUUGUAUUUUUUCAUAGUCUAAGUGGGUGUUUGGUAAACCAAUCUAAUAAACUUAAAUUAAAUUGUUAAGUAAAUUAAGUAUAUUUGGUAAAACAACUUAAUAGUAUGACUUAAAGUAAAAAACAACUUCAAGUAAUAAGUAAAAAUAAUUAAUUUAUUCUUAAGUCCACAUCUUCGUUUUACUUGUAUGUCAUCAUUUGCUCUAAUUACCUUUACAAUCUCUUUUAUUGUUUCAUAAUCUUCAUUGUUACUUAAUAUUCUUUACUCUAAUUAUAAUUUAUGAUGAUAAAUAUGUCAAUUUGAUUAUGUAUAAUAAACUUGAAAAAUAAUCUUAAUAUUUAAAGUAAUAAAUUUUAAGUAAACAAUUGAAGUAUAAUUUAACUUAAAAUCAACUUAAGUCCUAAGUAAUAAAUAUUAAGUUUUACCAAACAUCUCAUAAAACUAUGUAACAACUAUCUCUAUUAUCUCUCGUAACUUAAAACUAUAUGAAUAAUAUUUAUUGAUAUUUUGUCAUAUUCAAAAUAAUUAAUUGGUUAAAAUAAUAAAAUAAUCUCUAUAUUUGUAAAAUAAUUAGAAGUUAUACAAAUUAUUUCACUAUUUUUAUUUAUCAGUAUCUACAUAUUUAUAUUUAAUUAUGAUUUAUGGGGUUGUAGCAAUUUUUUUGAAUUUAUAUGUUUUUUAGUAAAUUAUUUAUAUAGCAUCGGUUUCAUGCGAUAUUGAAUCCCUAAUAUACUUAAAUUGAUUACUUUUGACAUUUUUGGUAACAACUAUCUAUCAUGGAUGCUUAAUACCCAAACCCUUAUUGAUGUCAUGAAUCUUCAAACAACAAUUUGCAAUGAGGCAUCUUUGUAGGAUCUCACCAAGGUCUUAAUUUUCCUCCACCAUCAUUUUUAUAAAGGUUUAAAAAAUGGAUGACUUACUUUAAAGAGUUAUAUCCACCACUGAACAAAUGUUAAUAAAUAAUAUGAUCAUUAAAAGUCUAUGAUUAUUCUCGAGGUUCAUUAUGACUAGAUAUACCUAAAGUUACAAGAGUAACCAUUUUUAAAAAUAAGUAUGAAAAAAUAAUUUUUAAGAAUUGUUUUAAAAUAUUUUUUAAAAUAAAUGUCUAUUUGAGAACUUAAAAUGUUUUUAACUUUUUUUUUUAUUUAUAAAAAAACUUUUAUAUAUAGUACUUUACUUUUAAUCAUUUUUCAUAUCUGUAUCUUUAUUUUUUUAAAUAAUCAUAAAAAAAAGCAAGUAAAAAAAUUUAAAAACAAUUUAAAAAAUGUUAUCUAAAAACACUAUAUUUGUUGUUUUUAAAAAAAGAAAAUAGUUUUCUAUUUUUUUUUUUUAUCGUCAAAUGUGUUUUUUUUCCUUUUGUGAAUAAUUUAAAUUGUCUUAUAAAACAAUUAAUGAACAGACCCUAUAAUUCUACAUUAUUCAAAAUUAAUUCUCAAUUUAAACUAUGCAAAAGAAAAAAAAAUUACUAAAAAAACAUAUAUAUUUUUCUAUGCAUUGAAUGUACUUGUAGGCUUGUAGCAAUGAUAUCAAAAAAUGUAUAUUUACAAAAUAUUAUGAAUUGAUAUUAUAUUCAUGAAAACAACGAGUAUCUAAUGAAAAAUAUAACUCUAAUCUAAUUGGUUUUAUGUCAUUUCCUUAAGAAAAUGUCAUUUCAUUUCAUAUUCAAGACAUGACUAUGAACAUGGAUGCAAAGAAGGAUUCGGUGCCAUGAUAGACAUAGUUCCCAUGAUCAUGGUAAUUGUAGGCAUUUUUCUUAAAUUCUCCUAAUAAGAAAGUUGUGUUACUCCACCAAAGUCAAAUAAACAUGAUAUGGAAAAACAUUGGGUGUGUUCUUAUUGUCCAAUAAAACAUUUAAUUGAUCUACAUAUCUCAAAUUUAUUUGAUUUGAAAACCUUGGUGGAAACCUUGAUUGGUGAUGAGAACAUGUCUCUAGAUUUAAUAAUUGUUGAUUGAGUUUCGUUAAUUAAAAAAUAGGAAAUGUUAAAUAAAAUUACAACAUUUGAAUCAAAAAAUUUAAUUUAAUCGAAAACACACCCCGUGAUGGAAUGAUUCGAAUAAUUCAACUUUUUGUAAAUCAUUUAAAAUCACGAGAAAUCAUAUGAGAGUGAUUUGAAUUUUAUUUAAAAAUAAUAAUAUAAAAACUAAAUAAAUUAAUAGUUUUAAUUAAAAUAAAUAAAUAAAUAAUGCAUGACAGAAUCCACAAUGUAAUUUUAGCCUUCACAGUUUUUAAACUUCUAGACAACCAUGCCAUUCAUGUUAUACUAAAGCGAGUCAUAGUUUUGAAGAGAAAAAAAAUUAAAAAAUUAGUCACUAAGAAGAGUCGCUUGCGUAAGGAGUAACUCUCGUUUAUUUUUCUAAAUAAACGAGCCUUGAGUUUAGGCACCCCGCUGGUCAAGACACCAUCAACAUGAGUCGCCUUCAUAGUUGAUGGUUGAAUUCAAACCUUGUGUAUGGUCGACCUUUGUAGCCUAGAUUGCAAAAGGAAUUUUCGACCCAUGAUUCAAGCAGCCGGGUAGAAUCCAUGAAUCGAUACUAGUUUUUUCCAUUUCUACUUCGUUUUCCACACCUUUCAACUUAGACUCGCCAGCUCCUUCCCUUUAUUUUCUUUGCUCGUGCCUACCUUUCCAGAAGUGAAGAAACUCCCUUGUAGGUUCCUGCACAUUAGGCCAUUGCUAUUAUCCUCACGCUCCUUUGAAUGGCAGUCAAAACAAAACUCUAUAUAAAUUGGACACCCACUUCACCCUUUUGCAUAUCCAUCAAACAAUACAUUCUCUAAUUCUCUGCAGAUACAUACCAAUAUCAGGUAGAUAUGGCUAGAGCACUCAAAUUUGUGAGCUUCCUCUUCCUUGUUCUGGUGUUGAACUCCAUUGCCAUCCAUGGCCGCCCCUUUAAUGUGUUGAAGAAGCCGCGAGGCCCUGAUGGUGAGGAGAUGAGGGGAUUCUUUGAUGGGUUGUCUCUUGGAGCCAUCAAGCAAUCAGGACCAAGCCCUGGUAAUGGACACAAAUUCACCAACGCUGGAACACUUGGAGGAAUCAAGGACUCGGGUCCCAGCCCUGGUGAGGGACACAAGUAUGUCGACGGCAUGCCCCACUGAGAUCUAUCUAUACUGCUAUAUAUACUUGAUUAGCAGCCCUGACAUGGAUUCUUUUGUUGGGGUUCAUUUAUUUAUUCUGAGAUUGUGCAUGUGGGUGGGGUUCAGUACUUGGGUUAUGAUUGGUAUUUACUUUUUCAGUUCGUAAUUUUUUGUUCUUUUCAUUGAUUUCCCUUGGUGUUACAAAAGGAAAUGUAAUAGAACUUUCAUUAUUUCAUAUGAUUAUUCAAUAAAAUAAGUUAAUAAUUUAUUAUUUAUUAUUCAUUAUUGUUUUUUCUUUCAAUUAAUUUUUCUUCUAUAUCUUCUCACAGUUUAUCUCAAUUUUUUUUAUAAAAUCCAAGCAUAGGAUGAAUCUAUUUUUAUCAUCCUUUGUUGUUUUUUCUUUUUUUUUUUGCCUUCAAGUUUUCUCUAGAUUUUUCAAUUAUAUUGGAUUCCGGAAAAUAUUAAAAAAAAAAAAGAAAAACAAAUACUAAGAAAAAUGAUUUUCUUUUAUUUAGUUUUAUCCUAAAAAAAUAUAAAAAAAUAAAAUAUAAAUUAAAAUUUAUAUAUUUAAACUUUAUAUAAAAAGUUUCAAGUGAAAUGAGUUUACACUCAAAACUUCUGCAUUUUUAAAUUAAAUUUUUUAUGUAAAAUAAUUAAAAUGAAUUUAAAGUAACCUAUAAAAUUAAUUUAUUAAAUUUAAAUUUAUUUUUUAUUUUUCUUCACUAUUUUUUUCCUUUUACUUUUCUUUUCCAUUUUUUUCAUUCUAUUUUCCUUUUAAAUUUUUCGAAAGCCAAAUAUAACAAGGAAUUUUAAUCAAAUAAUGACAAAUUAUCAAGUUAAUUUUUUUUUUUGAUAACAAUAAACAAAUUCUAAGAAGGCUAAAUCCUUGGAAUCAUUCAACCCUAGGAAAUUAGGAAAAAUUGCAUUGUUUGAUGGAGGACAAAGAAAGAAAAAGUGAAGGUAUGGGCUACAAUGUUUCCAGAUUACCAAAAAAAAAAAAAUCUCUUAAGAAAAAAAAUAGAAACAUUCAAACAUUUAUUUGCAAAAGUCUUCAUGUGUUAAUUCAUAUAAAAUUUUUAUAAUAUGUCAAAUAGAUUAUUUAGGCAUUUAUAAGCUUAUUUUACAUUUUGGAAAGUUCUAGGAAAAAUGUAAAGAAAAAAAAGGUGAAUAAAAGUAUUCUUAUAUUUAGUUGCAAAAGGAAAAAAAAAGACAAAGGAAAUAAAAUAAAAUAAUAAUAAAUAUUAUUUUCUCAUAUUUAGUUGGUUUGAGAAAAAAAAAAAAUUAAUUAAAAUUAGUUAUAAAUUUAUGUAUUUUUAAAUUAUUUAAUCCAUGUUUGGUUUUAGGUAGGUGUGAAGUGAGGGAAAUAAAGAAAAAAAUAUAAGGUAAAAAAUAGUGAAUAAAAAUAAAAAUAUUUUUAAAAUUAAUAAAUUAUUUUUAUAUACUACUUUAAUUUUAUUUAACUUAAUUAAAAACCAAAUAUGAGAAAUUGUUUCUUAUAAUCAUUUUUUCUUUUUUUAGUCAUUUCCUGAAAUCAAAUAUAGAAGUAUUAUUUAUAUAAAAUUUGAUUUAGAAAAAUUAUUUUCUUUAAUAUUUAUAUAGAAAAUUAAAAUGAGUGAAAUAAGUUUGAAAUAUAAUAUAAAAAUAAUUUAUUGAUUUUAUAUUUUUUACUUUUUUUUUGUUUUUUUCUUUUAUUUUAUUUUUCUUAUUUAUUUUAUUUCCCUUAUAUUUUUCUAAAAAUUUUCCAAAAAUCAAACAUAGGUUAAAAAAUAUUCACACAAUUUUUGAGAAAAUAAUUUAUUAAAAUAUAACACUCUUGAAAUAAUUUAAAAAAAAUCUAAUUAAAAGUUAUUUUUUAAAAAGACUUCAAUUGAAUUUUGAAGUCAUAUUUUAAAAAGAUAAUUUUCAUAUUUAAAUUAAAAUUAUUUUUUGGGAAUACAACUUUUAAAUGAUCUUUAAAUUGAAAAUAUAUUUGGAAGUAAUUUUAAAAAUACUAUAUUUUAAUAAAUAUAUAUAUUUUUUAAUAUGAUGGUAUCUUAAACGUUGUCGGUCCAAAUCGCCUGCAGUGUAAAAGAGAGUUCACUUCAGUCUCCUGACACCUAUCUUUUGAAAGUUGAGCGGGUUGGGUUGGGAUUUUCAGAGAGCGCGGCCAGAGACAGCCGAAAAAAAGAACCAAGCGAAACAGGGAGGAACAACGUUUCCAAGAAACGAGAUCUGAGCUUCGGCAAAUGGGAAGCUCCAACACCGGAGUCAAGGACGACUCCACCACCGACGCCGACACGUCCACCGGCGACCUUCCGGCAUCCAAUUCCGGCACCUUCUCUGAAGGUGAGAAGGUCCUCGCUUAUCACGGGCCCCGCAUCUACGAAGCGAAGGUAUCUUUCUUUUGCCUCUUUUCUCGUCUUUUUGAUUUCUUCUUUCUUUAUUUCAUUGUUUUUUAUCGGUCUGUUGCCCCUUUUUUUGCGGCCUGUUCUCUCACCAACUAAAUUAGGGUUAUUUCGUUACUUGUUCUCGAUUUUAAUUGUUAAUUUUUUAUUUAUCUGUGAUUUUAAUUUUUAAGAUAAAAUUUUCAUGGCUUAGGGUUUGUACAUUCUUGGAAAUUUUGAAUUCAUACUGCACUUUCGUCGGUUAUGGUCAGAAUGAGAGAGGACAAAAUGGUGCUUAAGAUUUUAUUGUUUUCGUCGGAUAGACUUUCAGUGUUGCCAUUAUUUUGAGAUCAGAUUCUUUUGGGAGAUGAACACUGCGGUUAUCUUAUAUUUGUUUGGUGGUUGCUAGAGUGAACAAAUAAAAGAAAGGGAAAGAAAUGGUAAAAGAUAAGAGUUCUAAAUUUUAUUCGGAACCAAAUCUUUGAAGUGAAGGAAUUCAAUCAAUGACAAGAAUUCCUUGUUUUGUGUUUUAGAAAAGAGCUGUUUUUUGUACUAUACAGUGCUACUUCAAGUAUAAGAAAAGUAUCAACUUAACUCGGAAACUCUUGUAUUUAUAUAAAACUAUUUUCUUCUUUGGCAUAAUAAUCGUUUUAUCAAGUGCACUUGCACUCAUGUAAUAAAUUGGCGGAUCUUCCAGCAUUACCUAAUCCAAACUUGUAUUUCUACAAAAAAUUUAAAUAAUUAACAAAACUGGCAAUUUUUUCUGAAUUUUAAUUAUAAAAUCAUUGAGAGGCUACUAAACCUGUCCGACUAUAUGAUAGACUCCAAAUUAUCCUUGAUGCUUUGUUGCGUAAUUGAGUCACGAUUAAGGCUUGGGGGUGGGGGUGUUGUCUGAGAUUGUUUCAAUUCCCAAAUGGUGCAACUUGGUUCUGGGGCUUGGUUGUCACUAAUCAUCAAAUAGUUGGAAUUCGUUUGAGAGGCGGGAACAAUAUAGAUCAGACAUGUAUUGGACCUUUUUCAACUAGAUUGAGAGGGAGGGGAAUCCAUUAAUUCAUCUUGGAUUGAUGAAGUUCUGACUUGCAAACCUUUGGAGGAUCCCCAUUGGCUGAAACUCUUUUCACGAACUGAGCUGUACCCUUGAACUCCUAUAUAAAGGUCCCAGGAAACUUGUCUAGAAGAAGGAAUUUUUUCUAUCAUGAAUAGCUCCUGAGUUCUUUUGAGGUUUUCCAAUCACUCCUUGAGAUUGCCUGUAUGAGCUACAAGCCACAACCACACACACCCCCGCCCUCCCCCCCU